CGGCGCACAUAAGACAUGCAAGUACGAACGAAAAUCGUUAAAAACGGAUUGAAGAUUAUCAGAUUGAAGUUUUAACAAUGAUUUAGUGGCGGACUGGUGAGUAAUACGUAAGCAACCUGCCUAGUAGAGGGGAAUAACAGUGAGGAAUCAUUGCUAAUACCGCAUAUGCUCACAGUACCACAUGGUACAGCGAGGAAAGGAGCAAUCCGCUAUUAGAUGGGCUUACGCCUGAUUAGAUAGUUGGUGGGGUAACGGCCUACCAAGUCAACGAUCAGUAGCCGGACUGAGAGGUUGAACGGCCACAUUGGGACUGAGAUACGGCCCAGACUCCCACGGGAGGCAGCAGUCGGGAAUAUUGCGCAAUGGAGGAAACUCUGACGCAAGUGACGCCGCGUGCAGGAAGAAGGUUUUCGGAUUGUAAACUGCUUUAGUCAAGGAAGAUACAAGACAGUACUUGAAGAAUAAGCACCGGCUAACUAUGUGCCAGCAGCAGC
rnacentral:rRNA from 1 species